rnacentral:rRNA from 1 species
GACGAACGCUGGCGGCGUGCCUAAUACAUGCAAGUUGAGCGAUGAAGAUUGGUGCUUGCACCAAUUUGAAGAGCAGCGAACGGGUGAGUAACGCGUGGGGAAUCUGCCUUUGAGCGGGGGACAACAUUUGGAAACGAAUGCUAAUACCGCAUAACAACUUUAAACAUAAGUUUUAAGUUUGAAAGAUGCAAUUGCAUCACUCAAAGAUGAUCCCGCGUUGUAUUAGCUAGUUGGUGAGGUAAAGGCUCACCAAGGCGAUGAUACAUAGCCGACCUGAGAGGGUGCUCGGCCAACUUGGGAUUGUGACACGGCCCAAACUCCUACGGGAGGCAGCCGUAGGGCAUCUUCGGCGAUGGACGCAAGUCUGACCAAGCAACGCCGCGUGAGUGCAGAAGGUUUUCGGAUCGUAAAACUCUGUUGGUAGAGAAGAACGUUGGUGAGAGUGGAAAGCUCAUAAAGUGACGGUAACUACACAGAAAGGGACGGCUAACUACGUG